rnacentral:ncRNA from 1 species
UGCUGCGGUGAAUACGUUCCCGGGCCUUGUACACACCGCCCGUCACACCAUGGGAGUUGGUUCUACCCGAAGCCGGUGCGCUAACCGUAAGGAAGCAGCCGACCACGGUAGGGUCAGCGACUGGGGUGAAGUCGUAACAAGGUAGCCGUAGGGGAACCUGCGGCUGGAUCACCUCCUUU